rnacentral:rRNA from 1 species
GGGCUUGACAUCCCACGAACCUGCCCGAAAGGGUAGGGUGCCCGCAAGGGAGCGUGGAGACAGGUGGUGCAUGGCUGUCGUCAGCUCGUGUCGUGAGAUGUUGGGUUAAGUCCCGCAACGAGCGCAACCCUCACCCCUUGUUGCCACCGGGUUAUGCCGAGCACUCUAGGGGAACUGCCAGCGUCAAGCUGGAGGAAGGCGGGGAUGACGUCAAGUCAUCAUGCCCCUUACGCCCUGGGCGACACACGUGCUACAAUGGCUGGUACAAAGGGAUGCAAGACCGCGAGGUGGAGCUAAUCCCAAAAAACCGGUCUAAGUUCAGAUUGCAGUCUGCAACUCGACUGCAUGAAGGAGGAAUCGCUAGUAAUCGCGCAUCAGCACGGCGCGGUGAAUACGUUCCCGGGCCUUGUACACACCGCCCGUCACACCACGAAAGCCGGCUGUACUCGAAGUCGCUGAG